rnacentral:misc_RNA from 1 species
AAGUCGUAACAAGGUUUCAGUAGGUGAACCUGCGGAAGGAUCAUUAACAAAAUCCUCUAUAUACACUUAUUUUUUAUAUGUAUGUAUAAAAAAUAGUGUAUAUAUACACCCUUUGUGAAGAGUCUAUAGACAAGAGAAAAUUUCUCACUCUUAGGAGAGAGAUAUAGAAUUGUCUAUAGAAAAUUUAGUUAUAUUCUUUCUUUUUAGAGUAUAUAUAAAGGAUUUUUAUAUAUAUUUAGAGAGGUUAAGGAUAUAAUUAAAAUAUUAACCAGAGUUUUUCAUAUAGAGUUUUAAUAUAUAAAUUAUAUAUAUAUAAACAACUUUUAACAAUGGAUCUCUUGGCUCUU